UGCCCAGCAACUCCUAUCCCCACCUCCUAGCAGUACUGGCCGGGGUACGAGCAACCUUAGGGAAGAUCGGGGAACCAUCCCCGGUGGGAAUUUUGGUCGUAUGCUGACAGGGAAGG
rnacentral:ribozyme from 1 species